UAAGGAAUCUUCCACAAUGGGCGAAAGCCUGAUGGAGCAAUGCCGCGUGCAGGAUGACGGCCUUCGGGUUGUAAACUGCUUUUAUAUGGGAAGAUUAUGACGGUACCAUAUGAAUAAGGACCGGCUAACUACGUGCCAGCAGCCGCGGUAAUACGUAGGGUCCAAGCGUUAUCCGGAAUCACUGGGCGUAAAGAGUUUGUAGGCGGGAAUCUAAGUGAGAUGCGAAAUCUUGUGGCUCAACCACAUAGACGGUAUCUCAUACUGGGUUCCUAGAAGAUAGCAGAGGCAAGUGGAAUUAGUAGUGUAGCGGUAAAAUGCGUAGAUAUUACUAGGAACACCAAUGGCGAAGGCAGCUUGCUGGGCUAUUCUUGACGCUGAGAAACGAAAGCGUGGGGAGCGAACAGG
rnacentral:rRNA from 1 species